CGUGAGCAGCACCAUUCACGAGGUGACGGAGGCCAUCAUUUCCGUGUCUGCCCGGCGAAAGUUGGUGGACUUUCCAUUGACACCGGCUGCCAAGGAUGAGGCAAAGGCGGCGUUUGCGCGACGCGGCGCCAUUCCAGGCGUGCUAGCGUGCGUCGAUGGCACAUUGAUCGCCAUUAUGAAGCCAGAAGGACUCAGCCCGGCUGACACGGCGAGCUUCAUGUCGAGAAAGGGUUAUUACGCCCUAAACGUCAUGGUCGUUUGUAACGCGGAACUUCGCAUUCUUGUUGUGGACCCCCGGUUCCCUGGUUCGUGCCAUGACUCUUGGGUGUGGCAGCGUAACCCACUGCGUGCACGCCUAGCUGCACAACUGCAGCCUGGCGAGUAUCUGCUUGGUUAGUAUUCGUAAUGCGUACCCCUAACUAGGGCAGAGCACUCAGCUGUCACUUUCUGUAAUAGGAGACUCGGGAUAUCCUCUCGAGCCAUGGCUGCUUGUUCCAGUACCUGGCAGCCACGGCGGCACCACCUCUGAAGGCCACUACAACCAGGAGCGCGCAUCCAUGCGCAAUGUUGUGGAGAGAUGUAUCGGGGUGUUGAAAAGCAAGUUCCGCUGCUUGCAGCGCUUUCGGACACUGCUAUACAGCCCCGAUAGAGCAGCGCGAAUCAUUUAUGCAUGCGUUGCUCUCCAUAACAUUGCCUUGGAGGCGGGCGACUGGACAUUGGACGAUUAUGGUGGGGAAGUGCCACCAGCUGAGGAGCCAGAGGAGCCAGGAGACAUCCAGGUGCUGGCACCACACGACGUGUUCCUCAGAGGAAGGCAGCAGCGCAGCGCCGUUGUCAACCUUUUCUGAAGGACACAGGAAUGGUGCUCAGCGAUGUCCUGCGCUAUGGCGCGCACCUGUUCCAGGAUCCCCUCCUGGGCUGCUGCCGUCCGUUCUGCCGCGACAGCG